GGGGAGACACCGGUGCCCAACAUCAUGGAGACUGCUUUCUACUUCGAGCAGGCCGGAGUCGGCCUGAGCUCCGACGAGAGCUUCCGCAUUUUCCUGGCCAUGAAGCAGCUGGCGGAGCAGCAGCCAAUCCACACCUGUCGCUUCUGGGGCAAGAUCCUGGGAAUGAACCGCAGCUACCUGGUGGCCGAGGUGGAAUUCCGGGAGGGCGAGGAGGAGGCGGAGGAGGAGGAGGUGGACGAGAUGACGGAGGGUGGCGAGGUCAUGGAGGCGCACGGCGAGGAGGAGGGCGAGGAGGACGAGGAGAAGGCCGUGGACAUCAUCCCUAAGCCCGUGUGGAAGCCGCCGCCCGUGAUCCCCAAGGAGGAGAGCCGCUCAGGCGCCAACAAGUACCUGUACUUUGUGUGCAACGAGCCGGGCCUGCCGUGGACGCGGCUGCCCCACGUCACCCCGGCCCAGAUCGUGAACGCCCGGAAGAUCAAGAAGUUCUUCACAGGCUACCUGGACGCACCGGUGGUCAGCUACCCGCCCUUCCCGGGCAACGAGGCCAACUACCUGCGGGCCCAAAUAGCCCGCAUCUCGGCCGCCACGCAGGUCAGCCCGCUGGGCUUCUAUCAGUUUAGCGAGGAGGAGGGAGACGAGGAGGAGGAAGGUGGUGCUGGGCGCGACUCCUACGAGGAGAACCCCGACUUCGAGGGCAUCCCCGUGCUGGAGCUGGUCGACUCCAUGGCCAACUGGGUGCAUCACACACAGCACAUCCUGCCGCAGGUGAGCGCCGGGACUCGCGCCUCCCACAUGGCAGGGGCAGGGGGGCUCCCGCAUGACCCUGCAGUACUGACCUCAAGCUCUUACUCUCUGCUAGGCAACUAA